rnacentral:rRNA from 1 species
GGUGGAGCGAUUUGUCUGGUUAAUUCCGAUAACGAACGAGACUCUGGCCUAUUAAAUAGACGAGGUAUUUACAUGUAUCUCGCGCUUCUUAGAGGGACAAGCGGCGUCUAGUCGCAUGAAAAAGAGCAAUAACAGGUCUGUGAUGCCCUUAGAUGUCCGGGGCUGCACGCGCGCUACACUGAAAGAAUCAGCGUGCAUUCAAACCUAGUCCGGAAGGACCGGGUAACCCAAGUAAAUUCUUUCGUGCUUGGGAUAGGGAAUUGCAAUUAUUUCCCUUAAACGAGGAAUUCCCAGUAAAUGCGGGUCAUAAGCUCGCGUUGAAUACGUCCCUGCCCUUUGUAC